rnacentral:rRNA from 1 species
CCGUGCGCUCCUAUAAUGCAGUCGAGCGGACAGAUGGGAGCUUGCUCCCUGAUGUUAGCGGCGGACGGGUGAGUAACACGUGGGUAACCUGCCUGUAAGACUGGGAUAACUCCGGGAAACCGGGGCUAAUACCGGAUGGUUGUUUGAACCGCAUGGUUCAGACAUAAAAGGUGGCUUCGGCUACCACUUACAGAUGGACCCGCGGCGCAUUAGCUAGUUGGUGAGGUAACGGCUCACCAAGGCGACGAUGCGUAGCCGACCUGAGAGGGUGAUCGGCCACACUGGGACUGAGACACGGCCCAGACUCCUACGGGAGGCAGCAGUAGGGAAUCUUCCGCAAUGGACGAAAGUCUGACGGAGCAACGCCGCGUGAGUGAUGAAGGUUUUCGGAUCGUAAAGCUCUGUUGUUAGGGAAGAACAAGUGCCGUUCAAAUAGGGCGGCACCUUGACGGUACCUAACCAGAAAGCCACGGCUAACUACGUGCCAGCAGCCGCGGUAAUACGUAGGUGGCAAGCGUUGUCCGGAAUUAUUGGGCGUAAAGGGCUCGCAGGCGGUUUCUUAAGUCUGAUGUGAAAGCCCCCGGCUCAACCGGGGAGGGUCAUUGGAAACUGGGGAACUUGAGUGCAGAAGAGGAGAGUGGAAUUCCACGUGUAGCGGUGAAAUGCGUAGAGAUGUGGAGGAACACCAGUGGCGAAGGCGACUCUCUGGUCUGUAACUGACGCUGAGGAGCGAAAGCGUGGGGAGCGAACAGGAUUAGAUACCCUGGUAGUCCACGCCGUAAACGAUGAGUGCUAAGUGUUAGGGGGUUUCCGCCCCUUAGUGCUGCAGCUAACGCAUUAAGCACUCCGCCUGGGGAGUACGGUCGCAAGACUGAAACUCAAAGGAAUUGACGGGGGCCCGCACAAGCGGUGGAGCAUGUGGUUUAAUUCGAAGCAACGCGAAGAACCUUACCAGGUCUUGACAUCCUCUGACAAUCCUAGAGAUAGGACGUCCCCUUCGGGGGCAGAGUGACAGGUGGUGCAUGGUUGUCGUCAGCUCGUGUCGUGAGAUGUUGGGUUAAGUCCCGCAACGAGCGCAACCCUUGAUCUUAGUUGCCAGCAUUCAGUUGGGCACUCUAAGGUGACUGCCGGUGACAAACCGGAGGAAGGUGGGGAUGACGUCAAAUCAUCAUGCCCCUUAUGACCUGGGCUACACACGUGCUACAAUGGACAGAACAAAGGGCAGCGAAACCGCGAGGUUAAGCCAAUCCCACAAAUCUGUUCUCAGUUCGGAUCGCAGUCUGCAACUCGACUGCGUGAAGCUGGAAUCGCUAGUAAUCGCGGAUCAGCAUGCCGCGGUGAAAUACGUUCCCGGGCCUUGUACACACCGCCCGUCACACCACGAGGAGUUUGUAACACCCGAAAGUCGGUGGAGGUGACCUUUAGGAGCCAGCCGCCGAAAGGUGACCUUUU